UAUAUAUACAUACAUAUAUAUAUACACAUACAUAUUGUGCAAGAAACUACAGAUUGUGUUGGCAUGCGAAACGACGGCUCAAGCAAACUCUCAAUGAUCAAACGAUGUACUCUUCUUCUUCUGAUAGAAGAAAAGAAGAAAGGACUGGUCAAUUCUUCUGACUUGUGAGUGAUUUUUGAUGAAGUAAAAAGAACACUUGAAGAGAUUGUACUGCUAACUCCGUCUCAAGACGAAUAGUUGUAUGAAAACAAUAUUUUAUUGCCUGGUUCUGAGGUUAUGCAGACAAGACACCAAAGCCACAGCCACAGCCACAACAACAGAACAACACAGAACGUGAAAAAGUUUCAAGGCUCAUAUUAUGGUGUCCAUGAAAUUUUGGGGCCCUUCCAAUUUGAAUUACACCUAUUGGAGCCCUCUAAACUUGGUUCACUUGUUUCAGACUUUGAGUCCAAUGGACAACUCCUGAGAUUACAUUAUGUUAACUGGUUCAUCUGAUGGAUUACCCUACAGACUUGUAUGGUGAUCAAACAUAUAACAAUGAACAAAAAUGAGAAAGCUGCUCUUCAUAUCACUCUAUCAAAUUUGUAAUAGUUAAAAUGGUCUACAUCUUAUACUGAAGAUGCUCUUAUCUUAUUUAUUUCUGUCCAUCAAUUUCAAGUUUUGAACAUCAAGGAACUUCCAGGCACAUACAUAUACCAUGAACGGAACAUGGGCAAGGACUCGAUAAAGACUUGAUUGACGAAUGCUGUAGCAAUCAGCUCCCAAUGGUCGAGAGCAAUAGCCAUAGAUAUCACAUAACUAUCUUUCCUCCAUUUUCUUGUGUAGAUUUAUGAAACCAACAAGAAGAUUUUCAUGCAAUGGUAGGUAGCCCCCGAUUCUUGGACAUAUUAAUGCAGCAUCUCAUCCAACUUCUGUCUGUAUUGAGCUAAUCUCCUAGUA
rnacentral:misc_RNA from 1 species